GCCCGCCUAGCUCAAUCGGAUAGAGCGUCAGACUCUUACUGAAUAGGCAGAGCACAUCUGAAGGCUGCGAGUUCGACCCUCGCGGUGGGCU